rnacentral:tRNA from 1 species
GGAUCCGUGGCUCAAUGGUCAGAGCGUCGGACUCAUAAUCCGAGGGUUGAAGGUUCGAGUCCUUCCGGAUCCA